GUGCUUGCUUUGGUAGCACAUGUACUUAAACUGGACAAGGAAGAUUAGCAUGGCCCCUGCACAAGGAUGACAUGCAAAUUCCUGUAGCAUUCCAUAUUUUU
rnacentral:snRNA from 1 species